AGUUACUUCAAUGAGAAUCAAUAUCCUGAUGAGGCAAAGAGAGAAGAAAUUGCAAAUGCCUGUAAUGCAGUUAUACAAAAGCCAGGCAAAAAGUUGUCAGAUUUGGAGCGAGUUACCUCCCUUAAAGUGUACAAUUGGUUUGCCAACAGAAGAAAGGAAAUCAAGAGAAGAGCCAAUAUCGAAGCAGCAAUCCUGGAGAGCCAUGGCAUAGAUGUACAGAGUCCAGGAGGCCAUUCCAAUAGCGAUGACGUCGAUGGGAAUGACUAUUC